AUGAGUUAUGUUUGGCAUAGUAUACUGAAGGGCAUUGAGGUUCUAAAGGAAGGGCUAAUCUGGAGAAUUGGAGAUGGAACUGAUGUACGUAUUUGGAACCCUUGGAUUCCAAGGGGGGUAACUCGCCGGCCUUCUGCUCCUCGUGGGUAGAGUUUACUAACUAGGGUUUGCGAGUUAAUCGGUCUAGACACAGAUUCAUGGGAUCGAUCUCUUGUGGAAGGCUGCUUCCACCAGGAUGAUGUGCCGCAUAUUUUGAGUAUUCAUGUCCAUGAUCAAGCUGAAGACUUCCUAGCUUGGCAUCUUGAUAGCAAGGGCAUUUUUUCGGUAAAGUUUGCAUAUAAGGCGCAUGCGGCAAUGUUGAAGAGAGAGGCUGACAAGCAACCAGGGGAGAGCUCAUCUAGUGAAAAAGGGGAUUCAGAGAUGUUUAAGGCUAUAUGGAAACAAAAGUGUCCUCCAAAGGUGCAUCAUUUUUUGUGAAGACUUGCACAUAACAACCACCCAAUGUAUAUGAAUAUUAGCAGGAGGGGAGUCAAACUUGAUACGCGGUGUGCUGCUUGUGGUCGACUCUUUGAGGAUGGAGGGCACCUGUUCCUGAACUGCAAGAUGGUGAAAUAUUGUUGGAGAGCACUGCUACUGGAGGAGGUAAGACUGCAACUUUCACGGCUUGUUUCUGCAGGGGAUGUAGUGUAUGCUAUCAUCUGUCUACCCGAGGAAAAAAUAAUGAUCUCUAUUGCUCUCCUUUGGUCCUGGUGGCAUGAAAGGAACCAUGGGAAUCAUGGUGAACGCAGAGCAACUAUGGAAUAG
rnacentral:rRNA from 1 species